rnacentral:lncRNA from 1 species
ACAUCAGUUCCACAAGGAAUACCCAGUCUAGAAGAAUGACUCCAAAUAGGAAUACAAGACUAUUGAUACAGAUACUCUUUGGCAGUUAAUGACUCAUUGUGCAAAACUGCCACAUUUUCAUAACCAGUGUGAUUCUGUCACAGACUCCUACUUCGGUGAUAGGCAUUUCUACAGCAACAUUUAGGGAGGAAACUGGCCACUGACUUUAUUGUGUGCCUAAGACAAAGUGUUUGACUGGACUGAAAACAGGUGCCCUCAGCAUCAACAAAAAGAAUCUACUUGCAGCUGGCCUGUCUCUGAAGCAGAGCUUCUCCAAAGGAACUCUUGGAAUCUGUUAACUGCCUUAAAAGCCAACCGCUGUCUCAGGGUACCGAAAGAAGAGCAGGACCCAACUCAUGCAAGACUGGAAGCACAUGAAUGAGGAAGACUUAGAAAAAUAUAUAAAUUUAAACUCUGGAAGACAAAAUUCACUUAUCAUUAUAGAAAAUAGCAGUCAGCUCAACUGCACAAAAAUAACUCAGGCAGUUAUCUCUCACCAGCUUGCAACACUGUACUGAUAUAUUCUAUUUACUACUUUAUAUCCAUCUGCCAAACCCACCUGGGUUUCAUGUAGGGCAUUCACUAGCUCUGUUAAUGAUAAGCUUCACUCUCUUCCCUAUGCCAUCCCCUCAACAACUUCUAAAAAUAAUUAAUUAAAUAAAAA